UAAACGAUGUGGAAAGAGUCCUGGUCCGUUUCAAGAAGACUUUCUUUCUUUCAUUUGUAUUUUUCUUUACUUUUGUUUGGUUCUAUUUCAGUCCUUUUUGCUGGUGCACAAUGAGAACUGAUACCACAGAUAUCUUUCGCGUGCUAAGUCUUCUAAACAUGCAGAGAUAUGAAAGGAAGUGGUUAUUAUUAUACGUGCAGUUCAGGUGUUAAAGUGAAGCAACCACUGAAUGUAGUUUUGCCCAGAAACACAACUGUGACAAGACCUUUGCCUUGUGGUGUGUUUGUUAGAGCGAAACAGAACUCACACAUUAUUGCACUGUGUAGUCAGGCAGCUGGACAGAGACGCUGUAAUGUUUAUCUGUGUGAUACUCGGGCUGCUGGUCUGCUUUGAGGCACAAGAGUUAUGAGUGGUAGCAGUACUGAAGGAGUUGUAGUAAAAUAUUUACAUUAUCACAUGUUCACUUCAACAAAAAGCUUUGAACACACUGAGUGAUAGUUCAGCAUGAGAGACAACACAACUAAAAACAUCUCUGAAUAAACUCUGAUCACAUGAGGACUUCACUUCAUUUGCAGAAUGAGGUCGUGGGUUAAACUUCUCUUUGUGGUUUAUCUGCUGCAUCCUUGUGAAGCAGGGCUCAGUGCUGAGACUGUGUUUGUGCAGAAGGGACACGAUGUGCUGCUGGAUGUCACAGACGCUGAGGGUGUCUGGGGAAUUUAUUGUGUUGUCUUGGAGAUUUAAUGGAAAUGUUAAUUUAGUAACACUUGUUGCUGGGCAAAAGGAAAUUGUUUCUCAGAAGUACACAAAAAGGAUUGAGUUUUUUGCAAAGAAUUACUC